GGCACGGUGGCUCAACUGGGUAGCGGUUGGGCUGUGGCUCUAGAGGUCACGGGUUCGACCCCCGGCUAUAGUCA